rnacentral:tRNA from 1 species
UGGUAAAACUACGGUCUCCAAAACCGUCAAUGUGGGUUCAAUUCCUACUACCCCUGCUUUUACUUCAUAUG